CUCUGGUGUCCCAAAUAAAGACGCAGCCUGUUCAGCCGAGCGGUCCUCUCCUUUGGUUACUUCCAUGCUGCUGAGCGCUACAAACUCCUGCCAGUGAUUUCCAGGAGGAACUAAGUGUCAGGCAGCCCGUCCACUGGAUAUGAGAACCUGUAGGCCUGGCACAGUGGCUAUCAGAGAGAGAGAGAGUAAAGGUGCUUUCAGACCAAAAGCGUGAGUGUUGGGGGCGGUGCGUUUAUAUACAAAGUCAAUGCAAAGACGCGGAGAACCGCUCAAGCGAGAAAGUCGCAUGACGCUGAGUCAUGAUAGCCUAUCAGCGUCGAGAUUAUCCAAACAUCACGGGCAUCUUCAGAGCAUUGUGUGGAGAGGACCAGGCAGAAAAUCCGCUGGCCAACAGAGAGCUACUAAACUGCAGGGGAAAGCUGAGGACAGAGCCGGGAGCAGCACUGCAGCUCUUGACAAAUAAACACCCGUAGUCUGUCUGGAUUAUGCUCUGAGAAAACUGCUUUUAUUAAAUUAGCUAUUUACUUUAGUUUUUGGGAUUACAACGUUGAUUUAUUUUCACUGGAGCUUCGGGACAGCAACCUUUGGUGCACAUCCGGUUCGAAUGUUGUUAGCGUCAGUGGGCACCCAGAGUUGUUGGACUACUACUUCAUAGAAAAAACAGUCAAAACUGGACAUUGCUCAGAGAAAAGAAAGCGAGGAAGUUGAAUUACCUGGUGAAUUCAUAAA